AGUAUGCCCUGAAGCAGGCCCCAAAGGUCAGGGUCGUUUCACCUUUCCCCCCUUCUAGACCUUUGUCCUCCCAGCUGCUUAUUAUUGUUGGUGUUUUGGUGAGGUUCAAGUUAUGAAAUCAUUUCUGUGGUAAAAUGCUCAAGUGUGCAUAGAGGAUUCAUGUGGAGUAGUAAGUGAAAUGAGACAGAGGCGUAACAAGGAACUGACAUCAAGAAAAAUAGAGCAUACGCAGGAUGAUAACUGAUUAUUACAGUUCAUCCCCAGUUUGGACUAAGAUGUUGAGUGGACACCUGGCCAGCUGUCUGGAGGAGAUAAACCAACCCAUUUAGCAGCCCUUGCAUUACUCUUUGCACUAGAGCUGAAGCCUGAAAUUCUUUACUUUUUUUGUAAUAAGAUUCAGAGGCCGGCGCACUCACAGGAGAGUCAACACUGCAACAGUUCCUCCAAACUUGCUGUCAAUUGACUGUUAGUCCAUAAAAUGUAUUAUUACAGCAUGUUGAAUAAUGCUGAGCUGGUUGAAAAAUGGCAAGGAUUUUGCCUGGAUAUGAGGAAAAUACCGUCUGAGAGCAGAGUGCACAGUCAGGAAAAGGCAGGUUGUAGAGAGUCAUUUAGGUCAGAUUACUCCGUAUGAUGCAAGCACUGCCAUCUCGUGGAUAAUCUAAGGAUGUGGAGAGUUCUGAGUUAUUUAUUUAAUAAAUGUAAAACUUUCUAAACUGAUAUGAAAAUUUCUAAUUGUAGUUUUUAAUAAUUUAAAAAUUUCCAAAAUGAUGCUUGCAGGAAGUAAAUUUUAGUACUGUUACAUUCAAGGAACACAUAUGAACAGAACUUAUUUUCUGAGACUAGAGGAUCUGUGCUAGUUCUUUAGUUGACUGUGUGUUUUUAUCAUGUUAUAAAGCUUCGUUUCUUCUUCCUCAUGUUGCUUUUUGUAUGCAAAGGAACAUGUUUGCUGCCUAUGGCAUUUAAAAGUAACAAAAAUGAAUCUUAAAUCUCUCAUGCUGGAGCACCAUUCUUUCCUCUAGUAGUGCAAAGAAUGGGUGAAGGGGGGAGGAAUGGGAGGAAAAACAAGAACACAGUGUCUUCAUGAUUCCUUUUAUAACAGAUUGCUUGACUACUGUUUCAUUCUAUUUCCAUCACUGAGGAGUACUUUGAGCUAUUGCUGAUGUGCCUGGUAUCAGUCCUGUUGUGAACUAGACUGGUUCACAGCAAAUUAUUGGAUAUUCUCUAACUGGGACGUAGGAAGUGACUAAUCACUGUUGUAGGCAUCCGAAGCUCACAAAUUUCUGUUAAACAGCUGCACAGCUCUUGCUAGCUGUGCCUCAGUCUACGUGCUUCUCUGUUCUGUGCAAGUCUGCUGGUCAUGCUCAUUCCUCCAAAAAGAGGCACGUGAAAAGGAUGUUUGGUUAUUUACACAUCAACAUAGCUUUCUAAACCUUAUUAAUGUAGACGUAUCUCUUUGUACAACUCAGAAAAACAGCUCUUGGAAGAUGUCAAGUGACUUUCUCUUGCUAUAAUACUGUGCAGUUAUGCUGUGAAUAAUGAGCUGAAAUAGGUAGUUUCCAAACAUAUGAUGUACAGUACCUAUGGAGUUCACUUUCAGAGCAGCCUAGACAUAAGAAAGAAAGUAGAAAGGACAUCACCUUAAGAGAAAAGGAUAAGUAUAGCAAUAUCAUGUGACAUAGCUCCUGGAGCUAGAAAUCAAUCAUAUUGCCUUUCUCCCAGCCCCUUUUCAUGUUCACAGUUUUACAUAUAGUGAACUAUUUACAAUGGAAACAGACCAACAAGAAAAUAAAACCCGUGAGUUGAUCUUUAUUUAGAAAUCAUAUCUUAUACAGCAAGGUAGUUGAACAACUGAAUGAAAGUAGUGGUUAAGCGUUGUUACAAGGAAGAAGUUACCAAUUUGCACCACUGAGGAGAAGGCUACAUGUCAAGGUGAAGCUUUUUGAGAGUACUGUGGUUUCUAGUCAUUACAGUAGAGCUAUUUUACAAGUUCAAACUGUUAAGAGUGUGUUGGUUUUGCAGUAUUUUUAUGAAUAAUGUAUACCCGAAUAGAAUAAUGAAUGUGAAGAAUGGGAACCAUAAACUUCAGACAUCUUAAGCACUGAUACUUUACUGCAGGUGUCGAGUAUUUCACUGUUGCUGUUGAAUGUGUCACAAUGCUUUGUUAGAACUGUGACAGGAAAAUAGAACAAAAACCUGAGGUAAACUAAAUUGUAGUUUUGGAAAAGAAUAAGGUAGAAAAUGGAAGCAAAGGAUAUCCUACCUCCCAGAACUUGGAGCAUGUGGGAUGAUAUAAGCCUGUAACUAAACAAUGUGCAAGUAUUUUAUUGAAUUAAUAACAGAUUGGUAUUGUUACUUAUUCCUGUGUCUUUAAUGGAAAGUGAAU
rnacentral:lncRNA from 1 species